GACGCGUCUUUAUAUGUUUAUCCUGCACAGCGGAUUUAGGUUGCUGUGUGAGGCACCGCACACUCAGUUGUUUGGACUUUAAUUAAUGGAUGAAUUACCCAAUCUAAUGUUUGAUCAUGUGAACGGAGAUAAUGGAAAGCGUGUUAAAAUCCUCUGUUUAAGGUAUGAAAAUCACUCGCCUUCAAGCGCUUGCUGUGCAGUUUGAAAAUCUAUUAACCAUGCAAACAAGGGCAGCCAUGCAUUGCAUGCACACUGUCAAGAAGUGCACAGGAAGAAGGCGCAGGUCAUCGCAUCAACAGGUGGUCGAAGCUGAGAUACAUACAAGGAGGAGCAGGUGGCCAAGAGGAAGAUACAGAAGACGAGCAAACAUCUACAAGCAGUUUGCACAUCAACCCCAGCCGGUCAGCAAGUCUGUAGACUCCACAACAGCCCUGAUCCACCACCCUCAACCAGCAGUUCUGGGACAGAUACUCAGCUAUCCGUGCCACAUUUGACAGCUGUGAUUGUGCUGCUUUUAGCCAGGAUUAAGUGUUCAACUUCCUCAUAUUGGUCUGAUAUUAUAGUUUGCUCUGGUAGACUUGUCCAUGUUUGUAAUCAGUCAUGUACAGCAAAAAUCUCCCUUGUUUCUGAACACGAUCAUGGCUAAAUGUGGGAAACUUGACUCGACCUUUUGAUUUGAUGAAAACAGCUUAUUGUAGUUGUUUACGCUGCA